rnacentral:rRNA from 1 species
GGGGAAUAUUGGACAAUGGGCGCAAGCCUGAUCCAGCAAUGCCGCGUGGGUGAAGACGGCCUGCGGGUUGUAAAGCCCUUUAGGCGGGGAGGAACGGCGUCGUGCGAACAGUGCGGCGUUCUGACGUUACCCGCAGAAUAAGCACCGGCUAACUCCGUGCCAGCAGCCGCGGUAAUACGGAGGGUGCGAGCGUUAAUCGGAAUUACUGGGCGUAAAGCGUGUGUAGGCGGUAAAGUCAGUCAGCCGUGAAAGCCCUGGGCUUAACCUGGGAACGGCGGUUGAGACGGCUUAACUCGAGUGGGCUAGAGGAUCGUGGAAUUCCGGGUGUAGCGGUGAAAUGCGUAGAGAUCCGGAGGAACACCGAUGGCGAAGGCAGCGGUCUGGGGCCACACUGACGCUGAGACACGAAAGCGUGGGGAGCAAAC